CCAACAGCAACGUUGUGUUGUUGACUGAAGAAGCCGAUUGAAUUCAAUCCCAUGAACACGAAGAUGGGUUCUGCUCAAAAUUGGUGAAGUGGGACACACCGAAGCAGUGGCAGAUCUACCCUUUGAAAUAAACAACGAUGGAGGCUUUGCUGCAAUUCGCGCCGAUGCAGAGCUCCGUCGAUGAAGGCUUCUGGCACCGAUUGUCUUCUUUGAAACUCAACAAGCUUGGCAUUGAUGAUUCUCCAAUACCCAUAUUUGGUUUCUAUGCACCUUGCUCACACUCUCAAGUGUCAAAUCAUUUAACUGUUUUAGCCGAGUCUUUGCCUUCUGAAUUGAGUGAGGCACCGUUAGUACCUGAACCUAGCCGUGGAAAUAGGAAUAGGUGCUUUGUUCCUGGGAUACUUUACAACACUAAUACUGUUGAAAGCUUUCAUGGACUUUAUAAGAAUAACCUGUUGAAGAAAGAGGCAGCAAAGAUAUGGGAUGACAUUCUAACUGGAAAAGCUGUGGAGGACUGUUCAGUGCUUUCGAGAUUCGUUCUUAUUUCAUUUGCGGACCUGAAAAAGUGGAGUUUCAACUACUGGUUUGCUUUCCCAGCUCUGAUGCUUGAUCCUCCUGCAACUGUGGUUAAUCUAAAGCCAGCUUCUCAGUGGUUCAGCGUAGCUGAGGCUGAAUCCCUCUCUGCAGCCUGUAACGAGUGGCGUAGCUCAAAAUCAACAACAGAUGUUCCAUUCUUUUUAGUCACUAUAGACCCAAAUUCACGGGCUACUGUUAGGCUUCUGAAGGACUGGGAAGUUUGUCAGAGCGAUGCUCACAAGAUCCUUUUUGGAUUUUAUGACCCAUGUCAUCUUCGAAAUAAUCCUGGAUGGCCUCUACGCAACUUGUUAGCACUUAUUUCUGCAAGGUGGAAUCUCAAGUCUGUUCAAUUUUUCUGCUACAGAGAGAACCGUGGUUUUGCAGACAUGAGUUUGUCCCUUGUUGGUGAAGCAUUAAUAACAGUUCCACCAGAAUGGAAAGACACUGUGCCUAGUGCUGUUGGAUGGGAACUAAAUAAGGGGAGAAAAGCACCUAGGUGUAUAAGCCUUGCACAGUCCAUGGACCCAACCAGGUUGGCAGUAUCUGCUGCAGAUUUGAAUUUAAAGCUUAUGAGGUGGCGUGCUUUGCCUUCUCUAAACUUGAAUGCCUUAUCUUCAAUGAAGUGUCUUCUCCUCGGAGCUGGCACACUUGGAUGCCAGGUUGCGCGCAUGCUUAUGGCAUGGGGUGUCCGAAAAAUUACUCUGCUUGACAAUGGCAGGGUGGCUAUGUCUAACCCAUUGAGGCAGUCUCUUUACACUUUGGAUGACUGUCUUAAUGGUGGUGAAUUUAAAGCUACAGCAGCAGUUGAAAGUCUUAAACGCAUAUUUCCAGCAGUGGAAGCAGAAGGCGUUGUUAUGGCCAUACCAAUGCCUGGACAUCCAGUACAUAGCCAGGAACAGGAUAGUGUGCUUGAUGAUUGUAGACGUUUGUGCAAUUUGAUUGAUUCUCAUGACUCAGUUUUUUUGCUGACAGAUACAAGGGAAAGCCGAUGGCUCCCAACACUUCUCUGUGCCAAUACUAACAAGAUUACCAUUACUGCUGCACUAGGGUUUGAUAGUUUCUUGGUUAUGCGCCAUGGAGCUGGUCCUUUCAGUCAUACCCAUAACUUGAAUGCUGAAACUGAUAAUUCUUCAUCUGCUGAUAUGCACAUAAAUGAUGCAAAUGGAAAGCAUAGAUUGGGCUGUUAUUUCUGCAAUGAUGUUGUAGCACCAACUGAUUCAACAUCAAACCGCAGCUUGGACCAGCAAUGUACUGUGACCCGACCAGGGCUGGCUCCUAUUGCUUCAGCCCUUGCAGUUGAGCUUUUAGUAUCAAUUUUGCAUCACCCUCAAGGGCAUUACAAUAGAGAGCCAAAGAAGUCCCAUCUACUUUGCUUUAUUUAUCCAGCAUGAAAUUCAGAUAUUGACUAUACCUUUUCAGGAUAUUUGCUGAAGGUGAUAUUAACAGUCGCACUGGAGCUACUGAGCAACCUCUUGGUAUUUUACCUCAUCAGAUUCGUGGUUCCCUUUCUCAAUUUUCUCAAAUGACCCUUGUAGGUUACUCCUCCUCCAGCUGCACAGCCUGUAGCCACACAGUUGUAUCAGAAUAUCGAAACCGAGAAAUGGAGUUCAUACUCCAAGCAAUCAAUCAUCCUACCUACCUAGAGGAUCUCACUGGACUGACAGAGUUGAUGAAAUCAGCCUCCUCAUUCUCAUUGGAUUGGGACAAGGACAUAGGUGAUGAAGAGGACGAUGACUGUGUUGAAAUUUAACUAUUAGUCAGUUGUACAUAAACUAAUUUAUACGAAAUGUUACUAUGUCAACGGUUGCUUUGUUACCAUACCUUAUCAAAUGUACAAAACCGAUUUCCAUGUAAUUUAUAUUCAUCCAUCUCAGCAAUUUGAAUUUUUUGUGCAUUUACU